rnacentral:rRNA from 1 species
UUUCCGGUUGAUCCCGCCGGAAGCCACUGCUAUCGGGGUCCGACUAAGCCAUGCGAGUCAUGGGGCUCCCUUCGGGGAGCACCGGCGCACGGCUCAGUAACACGUGGCUAACCUACCCUCGGGUGGGGGAUAACCUCGGGAAACUGAGGCUAAUCCCCCAUAGGGGAGGAGGUCUGGAAUGAUCCCUCCCCGAAAGGCGUAAGCCGCCCGAGGAUGGGGCUGCGGCGGAUUAGGUAGUUGGUGGGGUAACGGCCCAUCAAGCCUACGAUCCGUACGGGCCCUGAGAGGGGGAGCCCGGAGAUGGACACUGAGACACGGGUCCAGGCCCUACGGGGCGCAGCAGGCGCGAAACCUCCGCAAUGCGCGAAAGCGCGACGGGGGGACCCCGAGCGCCCACGCUCUGCGUGGGCUUUUCCGGAGUGUAAACAGCUCCGGGAAUAAGGGCUGGGCAAGUCCGGUGCCAGCAGCCGCGGUAAUACCGGCGGCCCAAGUGGUGGCCACUGUUAUUGGGCCUAAAGCGUUCCGUAGCCGGCCCGGUAAGUCUCUGCUUAAAUCCUGCGGCUCAACCGCAGGGCUGGCAGAGAUAC